rnacentral:lncRNA from 1 species
UAACUCAACCUCUACGCUAUUGCUAAUUGGCCAUACCGCUCUGUCUAACACGCAAACCCUCUCUCCUCUUAUUUGUCUUCAACUUCAUCUCCACCACUUCAGAUCUCCAUAAUACCUUCAUGCCAUAGAUGAUAGAGAAAGCAAGAGGAGCUAUUGGUGUCUCCUUUUAACUAUUAGAGUCUCAUCUCUAAUAGGGGAGGUCGCGAGAUCCCUCUAGCGGCGAUGGAGUAGCAGCUACGAGGCAGAGUAGCUAUUGAUAUUUCCUCUCAACUAUUGGUGGAGUAUCCCUUGUCUCUUUUCAUUCCAGUUUUGUCUGCUCACACCAGGGUUGUGGCCAUGACAUCGUUGCAGGUUUGUCAUUUGUUGUUAGGAUUUGGAUUUUACCCAUUUGGAUUGCUUCCUGGAACUUCCAUUUGUAAACCAUGUAACUGUUGGAUUCAUAAGCAGACUCAAUUUCCAUUGCAGAGCAAGCUUGGAGUUGAUUCGAAAACUGCGACGUGGAAUCAAUCAUCCCAAUAUUCACCUCUGGUUUUACUCAUGGUUUUAAUUUAUGAUCUCUGUUGAUAAUUGUAUAUAGUUCCAAAUAGAUAUCAUGCUAACGUUCUGAUUUAUGAAGAUAGGUUGAUAAUAUGGUUGUACUUACUGUCAAACAAUUGUGAACAUUCACAAAAGAGCCAGAGUUGCAGAAUGAACGCAUUGUGAGUGUUCUUAUCUCCCUUGUUAGCUGUUCUGCUUGCUGAUAUUUAUGUCAGUUUUGGUUCCAAUCUUAACAUUGUAACUCCUAUUGUUGUACGUGUAUUGUGAAUCCCCAUGAUCCUUACUUUUCUUCAUUUGUAUUCAAGUAAGCUAUCAUUUUCGAAACUUUUCCAUAAGCUUAUUCUUCGUAUGGUAUUUAACAACUCAUACAGUCAUAUGAAGGUUGAUCAAUUUGCUCUUUAUAACUCUAUUUGUGACGAUUUAUUUGUGGAUAAUACUAAAUGUACCCUUUAUUCUGCCAUCGUAGGAACUUAAUACAAGUGACAACCUUUCAUUUGAUCACGACCUGUGUUGAAAAUUGCAACAGCUUUGGCCUCUGGUUAACAGGAAAAAGCUUUUUGGAAUGGGGUGUUGGAGAUUGAUGAUCCAGAACACUAGAAUUGAGGAUCUUUGUCUCGAAUUCACUCUUUUGCUCUAAUUUAUGUGCAUGUUAAUUAAUCUAUCUGAUAAUCUUUGCAGACAACUGUUCAGUGUUGCUCGUAAGAUGUACAUUUGUCGAACAGAAGGAAAUUAACGAGCAGAAGCUGCUUGCUGAAUUCGAGAUGAAUUUCGAUUUUUAUGCAAUCUUUCGUUUCCCAAGUUUUUUACAUUCCGUUGAUUGUUAUCAAUAUGAAUAGUUUAGUUGCAUUUUUCACCCACAUCAUGAUUUUGUUGCUUGCUUAUCUCUGUUGAUUCAUAUUAAUGGCCUGAGAAUAACCACUGUAUUUCAUGUUGCAAUAUGUAGAUUGAUUAUCCAAGGGAGGUUGUUCUGCCAAGGCAUUUCAUGAAGCUCAUCAUCACCUUCACUGAAAAGUCAUCACUGAAUUUCUUGGCCAAAUGAUUGCUAGAGUUGGGUUGGACUCUUUUGGGAGGUUCAAGAAUCAUCUCUCAAGCAACAUCAAUCAGGCUCUUUGUUCGUCAUCAAUGCUACAGCUUGUUAGUAUAUAGUACAUUGCCACUCCAAAAGAGUUGAUUUUUUCUUGCUCUCAUCAGAUAAUAGAGAAGAGUACAUUGCAACUCCUAAAGAGUUCCUUUUCGGUUCCUUUUUCUGCUCUAAUUUGCUCACUUAGAAAGAUGGUCAAACAGCUCAACACUUCAUAGCUGUUCACUUCAUUGAUUCAUGUUGAAAUCAACAUAAUUAAGCUGAAGGCCAAACGAGAGCUUCUCAUGUUAUAUAUCUCUAUAUGAUCAUAAAACUAACAAGUUUAUGUUUUUUCGUGUUACGUACUAUUUUGUUUGCUUGAUGUUGCGCGGGCUAUUUCUAGUAUGUAGUAAUAGAAUGUGAGGAUUUCAGGAACGUUUAUCUGUAAAAGAUUCAAAGAACUGGUUGAGAUUUCUGACGUUUGAAGUGAAGUAUGGGAUCCUCAACCUGAGAAAUAAAGGAAGGUAAAGAGGGUCAGUAAUAGCCCUG